CCAGACUCCUACGGGAGGCAGCAGUGGGGGAUAUUGCACAAUGGGGGAAACCCUGAUGCAGCGACGCCGCGUGGGUGAAGAAGCGCCUCGGCGCGUAAAGCCCUGUCAGCAGGGAAGAAAAUGACGGUACCUGAAGAAGAAGCCCCGGCUGACUACGUGCCAGCAGCCGCGGUAAUACGUAGGGGGCAAGCGUUAUCCGGAUUUACUGGGUGUAAAGGGGGCGCAGACGGCGAUGCAAGCCAGGAGUGAAAGGCCGGGGCCCAACCCCGGGACUGCUCUUGGAACUGCGUGGCUAGAGUGCAGGAGGGGCAGGCGGAAUUCCUGGUGUAGCGGUGAAAUGCGUAGAUAUUAGGAGGAACACCAGUGGCGAAGGCGGCUUACUGGACGGCAACUGACGCUGAGGCUCGAAAGCGUGGGGAGCAAACAGGAUUAGAUACCCCGGUA
rnacentral:rRNA from 1 species